UGGAAGAGGCGUCGGAGACAGCUGUUGA
rnacentral:piRNA from 1 species